rnacentral:rRNA from 1 species
CAGUCGCCACGGGAAAACGUAGGGUCCGAGCGUUGUCCGGAAUUAUUGGGCGUAAAGGGCUCGUAGGCGGUUUGUCGCGUCGGGAGUGAAAACCAGCAGCUUAACUGCUGUCCUGCUUUCGAUACGGGCAGACUUGAGGCAUUCAGGGGAGAACGGAAUUCCUGGUGUAGCGGUGAAAUGCGCAGAUAUCAGGAGGAACACCGGUGGCGAAGGCGGUUCUCUGGGAAUGUUCUGACGCUGAGGAGCGAAAGUGUGGGGAGCGAACAGGAUUAGAUACCCCCGUAGUCCCUGUCUCUUAUAC